rnacentral:rRNA from 1 species
AGGACGAACGCUGGCGGCGUGCUUAACACAUGCAAGUCGAGCGGAAAGGCCUUUCGGGGUACUCGAGCGGCGAACGGGUGAGUAACACGUGAGUAAUCUGCCCAUCGCUUCAGGAUAGCCAUCGGAAACGGUGAUUAAUACUGGAUAUGACAUUCCUUCGCAUGUUGGGGUGUGGAAAGUUUUUUCGGCGGUGGAUGUGCUCGCGGCCUAUCAGCUUGUUGGUGGGGUAAUGGCCUACCAAGGCUUUGACGGGUAGCCGGCCUGAGAGGGUGACCGGCCACACUGGGACUGAGACACGGCCCAGACUCCUACGGGAGGCAGCAGUGGGAAUAUGGACAAUGGGCGGAAGCCUGAUCCAGCAACGCCGCGUGAGGAUGACGGCCUUCGGGUUGUAAACCUCUUUCAGCACAGACGAAGUUUUGUCGUUUUUUGGUGUAAGUGACGGUAUGUGCAGAAGAAGACGCCAACUACGUGCCAGCGAGCCGC